rnacentral:rRNA from 1 species
UACGUAGGUGGCAAGCGUUGUCCGGAAUUACUGGGCGUAAAGCGCGUGUAGGCGGUUAUGCAAGUCGGGUGUGAAAGCCCCGGGCUCAACCCGGGAAGUGCAUUCGAUACUGCGUAGCUAGAGUACUGGAGAGGAUGGUGGAACUCUCGGUGUAGAGGUGAAAUUCGUAGAUAUCGAGAAGAACACCGGUGGCGAAGGCGGCCAUCUGGACAGAUACUGACGCUGAGACGCGAAAGCGUGGGGAGCAAACAGG